rfam:Corchorus olitorius cultivar O-4 contig19129, whole genome shotgun sequence.
AGAGUAGACAUCCAAAGGGAUCGCAUUGAUCCUUUAUUAUAUAAAAGUUUUUCAAUGAAAAAACCCUUUUUUUGUUGUUAAAUUUUUAACAAUUUUGGAUCAUGCUAUCCCUUUGGAUUCCUCCUU